AAAUAAGUAAAUGUUUCAAGGUGGAUACCUUAGUAUUCAAAGUCGAUGAAGGGCGUAAUAAACUGCGAAAAGUAUCGGUGAAUUGUAAAUAAAUAUUAACCCGAUAAUUCCCGAAUGGAGAAAUCUAUUAAACUUUCAAAUUAAUUCAUAAUUUGAAAAGAGAAAACAUAGUGAAUUGAAACAUCUUAGUAACUAAAGGAAAAGAAAGCAAAAGCGAUUUCCCGAGUAGUGGCGAACGAAAAGGAAAAAGUCUAAACUAAUAUUAUAUUAGGGUUGUGGGGCAACAGUUUUAUAGAUAAUUUAAGGAGAAACAGCUGAAACCUGUACCAAAGAUGGUGAAAGUCCAGUAAUCUUAAAAAUAUAAGUUGAACUCCCAAGUAGCUUGAGACACGUGGAAUCUCUUGUGAAUCGACGAGAACCACCUCGUAAGACUAAAUACUCUUGAAUAACUAAUAGUGAACAAGUACCGUGAGGGAAAGGUGAAAAAGAACCCCUAAAGGGGAGUGAAAAAGAAUAUCAAACCUGAAACAAACCAAUAGUAGGAGAAAUUUAUAUCAAAUUUUGACUGCAUACCUGUUGAAGAAUGAGCCGGCGACUCAUAUAUUCUGGCAAGGUUAAGAAUAAUUUCGAAGCCUAAGUGAAAACAAGUCUGAAUAGGGCGAAAGUCAGUUUAUAUGGACCCGAACCCGAGUGAUUUAACCAUGACCAGGAUGAAACUUGGUUAAACCCAAGUGGAGGUCCGAACUGACCAAUGUUGAAAAAUUGGCAGAUGAGUUAUGGUUAGAGGUGAAAUGCCAAUCGAACUCGGAGCUAGCUGGUUCUCCUCGAAAUACGUUGAGGCGUAGCAUUUAGAAAUCAAUUAAGGGGUAAAGCACUGUUUCGGUACGGGCUAUGAAAAUGGUACCAAAUCGUUGCAAACUAAGAAUACUAAAGUUGAUAACUAAAUAGUCAGACUAUGGGGGAUAAGCUCCAUAGUCUAAAGGGAAACAGCCCAGAUCAUCAGCUAAGGCCCCUAAAUAAUAGCUAAGUGUUAAAGGAGGUAUGAAUGCAAAAACAACCAAAAGGUUUGCCUAGAAGCAGCCAUCCUUAAAAGAGUGCGUAAUAGCUCACUGGUAAAGCGUUCAUGCACCAAAAAUGAAAGGGACUAAGUUAUUUGCCGAAGCUAUGAGCUUAUUAAGCGGUAGAGGAGCGUUCUGUUCUAAGGUGAAGCUCACUUGUAAGAAUGAGUGGAUGAAACAGAAGUGAGAAUGUCGGCUUGAGUAACGAAAACAUUGGUGAGAAUCCAAUGCUCCGAAAAUCUAAGGGUUCCUUUACUAGGCUCGUCCUUGAAGGGUUAGUCAGGACCUAAGAUGAGAUCGAAAGAUAUAGUCGAUGAGAAAUAGGUUAAUAUUCCUAUACUUAUUUAUACUUUGUACAGAGGGACGAAGAAGGCUAUAACAGCGAAUAAUUGGAUUUUUGUUUGGAUAACAAGAUAGUCAAUUGAAGAAAAACUUUUGAAUUAUUAAGUUAUUCAAAGAUAAGAAUCUUUGGAUUUUUAUCUUGUUAGAUGUCAUACUUCCAGGAAAAGCUCUAAUUACUUAUAAGAUAAAUAACCUGUACCAUAAACCGACACAGGUGGAUUAGUAGAAUAUACUGAGGAGCGCGAGAUAACUCUCUCUAAGGAACUCGGCAAAAUAGCUCCGUAACUUCGGGAGAAGGAGUACCCUUAAUUGGGUGACAGUACAUUGACCCAGGCGACUGUUUAACAAAAACACAGGUCUCCGCAAAGUCGAAAGACAACGUAUGGGGGCUGACGCCUGCCCAGUGCCGGAAGGUUAAUGAAGUAAGUUAUUCUUUUGAAAAAGCUUAUAACUCAAGCCCCGGUGAACGGCGGCCGUAACUCUGACGGUCCUAAGGUAGCGAAAUUCCUUGUCGCGUAAGUUGUGACCUGCACGAAAGGCGUAACGAUCUGGGUACUGUCUCAGAGAGAGACUCGGUGAAAUAAACAUGUUCGUGAAGAUGCGAACUUCUUAUACCUGGACAGAAAGACCCUAUGAAGCUUGACUGUAUCUUGAAAUUGAAUUUAAGUUUGUUUUGCGCAGUCUAAGUGGGAGGCUAUGAUGAUCUUUUUUCGGAAAUUUCUGAGCCAACAGUGAGAGACCACUCUAGGCAUUCUAAAAUUCUAAUAGUGAUUUCUUUUAUCAGAACACUUAACAGUUUUAGGUGGGCAGUUUUUUUGGGGCGAAAACCUCCUAAAAAGUAACGGAGGUGUACAAAGGUUCCUUCAGACUGGACGGAAAUCAGUUGGAGAGUAUAAAGGCAAAAAGGAGCUUAACUGUAAGACUGACACGUCAAACAGAGGCGAAAGCCGGUCUUAGUGAUCCGACGAUUCUAUGUGGAAGGGUCGUCGCUCAACGGAUAAAAGUUACUCUAGGGAUAACAGGCUGAUCUUCCCCAAGAGUUCACAUCGACGGGAAGGUUUGGCACCUCGAUGUCGGCUCAUCGCAACCUGGGGCGGUAGUACGUCCCAAGGGUUGGGCUGUUCGCCCAUUAAAGCGGUACGUGAGCUGGGUUCAGAACGUCGUGAGACAGUUUGGUCCAUAUCCGGUAUAAGCGUAAGAAUAUUGAAAAAACCUUUCUAUAAUACGAGAGGACUUGGAAGGAUGAACCUCUGGUGUACCAGUUCUUAUGCCAAUAGGAAACGCUGGGUAGCUAUGUUCAGAGGUGAUAACUGCUGAAAGCAUCUAAGUAGGAAGCCCAUUUUAAGAUGAGUAUUCUUUUAUGAGAUCGCGGGGAGAAUACCCGAUAUAUAGGAAUUAGGUGUAAGACUAGUAAUAGUUGUAGCUGAAAUUUACUAAAGAUCCAAUUUUUUGAUCUC
rnacentral:rRNA from 1 species